AACGAACGCUGGCGGCAUGCCUAACACAUGCAAGUCGAACGAGACCUUCGGGUCUAGUGGCGCACGGGUGCGUAACGCGUGGGAACCUGCCCUUAGGUUCGGAAUAACUCCCCGAAGGGGGUGCUAAUACCGGAUAAUGUCUUCGGACCAAAGAUUUAUCGCCUUUGGAUGGGCCCGCGUUGGAUUAGCUAGUUGGUAGGGUAAAAGCCUACCAAGGCGACGAUCCAUAGCUGGUUUGAGAGGAUGAUCAGCCACACUGGGACUGAGACACGGCCCAGACUCCUACGGGAGGCAGCAGUGGGGAAUAUUGGACAAUGGGCGGAAGCCUGAUCCAGCAAUGCCGCGUGAGUGAUGAAGGCCUUAGGGUUGUAAAGCUCUUUUACCCGGGAUGAUAAUGACAGUACCGGGAGAAUAAGUUCCGGCUAACCCCGUG
rnacentral:rRNA from 1 species